rnacentral:rRNA from 1 species
CCGACUGCUAUCCGGGUAAGACUAAGCCAUGCAAGUCGAAUGGAACAGCUUGUUCCAUGGCGAACUGCUCAGUAACAAGUAAUCAACUUACCCUUCAGUGGAGAAUAACCUCGGGAAACUGAGGCUAAUACUUCAUAGUUGGAAAUUCCUGGAAUGGUUUUCCAUCGAAAGAUAUUUCUAAAUGCGGAAAAUUCGCUGAAGGAUAGGAUCGCUUUCGAUUACGGUUGUUGGUGAGGUAAUGGCUCACCAAGCCUAUGAUCGAUAAGGGCCGUGAGAGCGGUAGCCCUGAGAUGGAUACUGAGACAAUGUUCCAGGCCUUACGAGGCGCAGCAGGCGCGAAACCUUUACAAUGCACGAAAGUGUGAUAGGGUUACCCGGAGUGCCAAAAUUAAAUUUUGGCUGUUAUAGGUGUGUAAAUAACCCUAUGAGAAAGGAGAGGGCAAGGCUGGUGCCAGCCGCCGCGGUAAAACCAGCUCUUCAAGUGGUCGGGAAUAUUAUUGGGCUUAAAGUGUCCGUAGCCGGUUUGGUAAGUUCCUGGUUAAAUCUGGCAGCUUAACUGUCAGUCAGCUAGGAAUACUACUUUACUAGAGGGUGGGAAAGGUUUGAGGUACUCCAGGGGUAGCGGUGAAAUGCGAUAAUCCUUGGGGGACCACCAGUGGCGAAGGCGUCAGACUGGAACACGCCUGACGGUGAGGGACGAAAGCCAGGGGAGCGAACGGGAUUAGAUACCCCGGUAGUCCUGGCCGUAAACGAUGCGUGCUAGGUGUUGGUAGGGCUUUGAGCUGUAUCAGUGCCGUAGGGAAACUGUUAAGCGCGCCGCCUGGGAAGUACGCUCGCAAGGGUGAAACUUAAAGGAAUUGG